rnacentral:rRNA from 1 species
GAUGAACGCUGGCGGCGUGCCUAAUACAUGCAAGUCGAGCGAACGGACCAUAAGCUUGCUUCUCGCAUGUUAGCGGCGGACGUGUGAGUAACACGUGUAUCACCUCCCUAUCAGACUGGGAUAACUUCGGGACACCGGAGCUAAUCCCGGAUAAUAUCUUGCACCGCAUGGUUCAAAAGUGAAAGACGGUCUUGCUGUCACUUAUAGAUGGAUCCGCGCUGCAUUAGCUAGUUGGUAAGGUAACGGCUUACCAAGGCAACGAUGCAUAGCCGACCUGAGAGGCUGGUCGCCCACACGGGAGCUGAGACGCGGUCCAGACUACUAAGAGACGGCGCAGUCGGGAAUGUUCCGCAAUGGGCGAGAACAUGACGCAACAAGGGCGCGUGAGUGAUGAAGGUCUUCGGAUCGUAAAACUCUGUUAUGAGGGAAGAACAGAUGUGUAAGUAAAUGUGGACAUAGUGACGGUAAUGAAUCAGAAAGCACCGGCUAACUACGUG